rnacentral:rRNA from 1 species
AAUCAACGCUGGCGGCGUGCCUCAGACAUGCAAGUCGAACGAUUAAAGCUCUCUUCGGAGAGUGUAUAGAGUGGCGCACGGGUGAGUAACACGUAAGUAAUCUACCUUCGAGUGGGGAAUAACAGUCGGAAACGACUGCUAAUACCGCAUAAUGCAGCGGCAUUGCAAGAUGACAGUUGUUAAAGGAUUUAUUUCGCUUGAAGAGGAGCUUGCGGCAGAUUAGCUAGUUGGUAAGUAAUGGCUUACCAAGGCUACGAUCUGUAACCGGUCUAAGAGGACGGUCGGUCACACUGACACUGAAUAACGGGUCAGACUCCUACGGGAGGCAGCAGUCGGGAAUUUUGGGCAAGUGGGCGAAAGCCUGACCCAGCAACGCCGCGUGAAGG